UCCACCCCCUAUUCUGUUGUUAUUUCUUGCCAUUUGGGAAAUUCUUUCAAAUUCUUUUACUUUUUCCUUACAUUUUAUAUAAACAACUACAAAUAGAGAUGAAAACAAGUACCUUUUAUAACAACGAGGCAGCAUCUUCUCCCGGAGAGUGAUCCGGUACUUGUAACAGUAAAGGUAAUAGGCGUAUGGUGACCAGAUCGGGUAGAGGUAGUUACGUGUUUUUCCCCUCUUGAUAUAAGAAAGGGAGUAGACAGAGGGGCGACACCUCUUACAAGGCAGUUUUUCAGUUCAGUGCCUCCCUGUGGCAAAGUGAAGUUCACAGGUGGGUGGCAGAGGUUUAGGCAACCUGGUGGCAUUGUGACCCAGUGGGCACUAUGACAUGGAUAAGGGGUCAGCCCUUAUGUCACCUCAGGACUCCACUCUGCUGCUUAUCUACCCUAAUCCCUUAUCCAAGGCUCAUAUUCGACUAGUAUGCAUGUUAUGGCUGUAUGAAUGAUUAAAAAAUAGAACUUGAA
rnacentral:lncRNA from 10 species